rnacentral:rRNA from 1 species
GACGUAGGGUGCGAGCGUUGUCCGGAUUUAUUGGGCGUAAAGAGCUCGUAGGCGGCUCGUCGCGUCGACCGUGAAAACCCGCGGCUUAACUGCGGGCUUGCGGUUGAUACGGGCAGACUAGAGUUCGGUAGGGGAGACUGGAAUUCCUGGUGUAGCGGUGAAAUGCGCAGAUAUCAGGAGGAACACCGGUGGCGAAGGCGGGUCUCUGGGCCGAUACUGACGCUGAGGAGCGAAAGCGUGGGGAGCGAACAGG